CAUUACAUGGUAUAGUUUCUGAAUAUGGAAUUUGCCUAGCCUGCACAAUCCAGACAGUCUAAGUAACAGAUCACCUUGCAGUUGUUGAUUAUCCAUUACAGGAGUUCUGCAAUCUAAUAUCUUCCUGACUACACAAGAUGCUGCCUUGGGAAUGGGCAUUGUAGCAAUGUCACGGUGUUUAAUGUAAUAGUAGUGUAUCCAUUUGAUCCACAAACAAUCUUUCU
rnacentral:lncRNA from 1 species